AAGUCGUAACAAGGUUUCCGUAGGUGAACCUGCGGAAGGAUCAUUACAGAGUUCAUGCCCUCACGGGUAGACCUCCCACCCUUGUGUAUCUAUACCAUGUUGCUUUGGCAGGCUGCUGCCCCCCCCUCGGGGGACAGCCUCGGCGCCCUCGGGCCUGAGAGUCGCCUGCCGGAGGAAAAACAAACUCUGAAUGUUAGUGUCGUCUGAGUACUAUAUCUUAAUAGUUAAAACUUUCAACAACGGAUCUCUUGGUUCUG
rnacentral:misc_RNA from 1 species